UCCAGGUGCAGUGGUGCGUGCCUGUAGUCCCCGCUUCUGGGGAGGCUGAGGCUGGAGGAUCUCUGGAGUUCAGGAGUUCUGGGCAUCAGUAUGGUGACCUCCUGGGAGCGGGGGACCACCAGGUUGCCUAAGGAGGGGUGAACCGGCCCAGGUUGGAAACAGAACAGGUCAAAACUCUCGUGCUGAUCAGCAGUGGGAUCGCACCUGUGAAUAGCCACUGCACUCCAGCCUGGGCAACAUAGCCAGACCCCGUCUCUA
ensembl:misc_RNA Metazoa_SRP Metazoan signal recognition particle RNA